rnacentral:rRNA from 1 species
CACGUGGGGAACCUGCCCCAUAGUCUGGGAUACCACUUGGAAACAGGUGCUAAUACCGGAUAAGAAAGCAGAUCGCAUGAUCAGCUUUUAAAAGGCGGCGUAAGCUGUCGCUAUGGGAUGGCCCCGCGGUGCAUUAGCUAGUUGGUAAGGUAAAGGCUUACCAAGGCGAUGAUGCAUAGCCGAGUUGAGAGACUGAUCGGCCACAUUGGGACUGAGACACGGCCCAAACUCCUACGGGAGGCAGCAGCU